rnacentral:rRNA from 1 species
GAUGAACGCUGGCGGCGUGCCUAAUACAUGCAAGUCGAGCGAACGGACGAGAAGCUUGCUUCUCUGAUGUUAGCGGCGGACGGGUGAGUAACACGUGGAUAACCUACCUUUAAGACUGGGAUAACUUCGGGAAACCGGAGCUAAUACCGGAUAAUAUUUUGAACCGCAUGGUUCAAAAGUGAAAGACGGUCUUGCUGUCCCUUAUAGAUGGAUCCGCGCUGCAUUAGCUAGUUGGUAAGGUAACGGCUUACCAAGGCAACGAUGCAUAGCCGACCUGAGAGGGUGAUCGGCCACACUGGAACUGAGACACGGUCCAGACUCCUACGGGAGGCAGCAGUAGGGAAUCUUCCGCAAUGGGCGAAAGCCUGACGGAGCAACGCCGCGUGAGUGAUGAAGGUCUUCGGAUCGUAAAACUCUGUUAUUAGGGAAGAACAUAUGUGUAAGUAACUGUGCACAUCUUGACGGUACCUAAUCAGAAAGCCACGGCUAACUACGUG